rnacentral:rRNA from 1 species
AUUGAACGCUAGCGGGAUGCUUUACACAUGCAAGUCGAACGGCAGCGCGGACUUCGGUCUGGCGGCGAGUGGCGAACGGGUGAGUAAUGUAUCGGAACGUGCCCAGUAGCGGGGGAUAACUACGCGAAAGCGUAGCUAAUACCGCAUACGCCCUACGGGGGAAAGCAGGGGAUCGUAAGACCUUGCACUAUUGGAGCGGCCGAUAUCGGAUUAGCUAGUUGGUGAGGUAACGGCUCACCAAGGCGACGAUCCGUAGCUGGUUUGAGAGGACGACCAGCCACACUGGGACUGAGACACGGACCAGACUCCUACGGGAGGCAGCAGUGGGGAAUUUUGGACAAUGGGGGCAACCCUGAUCCAGCCAUCCCGCGUGUGCGAUGAAGGCCUUCGGGUUGUAAAGCACUUUUGGCAGGAAAGAAACGUCGCGGGCUAAUACCCCGUGGAACUGACGGUACCUGCAGAAUAAGCACCGGCUAACUACGUG